AAUGAACGCUGGCGGCAGGCCUAAAACAUGCAAGUCGAACGCCCUAGCAAUAGGGAGUGGCGCACGGGUGAGUAACAUGUGGGAAUAUGCCUUGUGGUACGGAACAACGUUUGGAAACGAACGCUAAUACCGUAUGGUCCCUCCGGGGUAAAGAUUUAUCGCCAAAAGAUUAGCCCGCACUAGAUUGGCAAGUUGGUAAGGUAAUGGCUUACCAAGGCGAAGAUAUAUAGCUGUUCUGAGAGGGUGAUCAGCCACCCUGGGACUGAGACACGGCCCAGACUCCUACGGGAGGCAGCAGUGGGGAAUAUUGGACAAUGGGCGAAAGCCUGGACCAGCCAUGCCGGGUGAGUGAUGAAGGCCUUAGGGUUGUAAAGCUCUUUCAGUGGGGAAGAUAAUGACGGUACCCACAGAAGAAGCCCCGGCUAACUUCGUGCCAGCCGCCGCCGUAAUAC
rnacentral:rRNA from 1 species